rnacentral:rRNA from 1 species
GGCUCCGGCCACAUCAGCCUGAAGGCGCCCGAUCUCGUCUGAUCUCGGAAGCUAAGCAGGGUCGGGCCUGCUUAGUAUAAAAAAAAAAAAAAAAAAAAAGAACUGGACAUGGAACAA